UUUUAGCUUGCUAGAAAGUGGAUUAGUGGCGCACGGGUGAGUAAUGCAUAGGUUAUGUGCCCCAUAGUCUGGGAUAGCCACUGGAAACGGUGAUUAAUACCGGAUACUCCUUACGAGGGAAAGUUUUUCGCUAUGGGAUCAGCCUAUGUCCUAUCAGCUAGUUGGUGAGGUAAUGGCUCACCAAGGCUAUGACGGGUAUCCGGCCUGAGAGGGUGAACGGACACACUGGAACUGAGACACGGUCCAGACUCCUACGGGAGGCAGCAGUAGGGAAUAUUGCUCAAUGGGCGAAAGCCUGAAGCAGCAACGCCGCGUGGAGGAUGAAGGUUUUAGGAUUGUAAACUCCUUUUGUUAGAGAAGAUUAUGACGGUAUCUCACGAAUAAGCAC
rnacentral:rRNA from 1 species